UGGAUCAAAUACUUGGUGGGCCGAAAUUGGGCACAAGGCUUUUCUCCUUCCUUCGCCUAAAACGCAGCUUCGAUCACCAACGACGCCGGUCCGAUUCAAAGCGAUCGCCAUUUCCAGUGACAGAAGCAAAACCAACUACCCCACUUCUACGAUUCUACUCAUACAGAUUCCAAUAAUGUGAAUCAGAAGCAACAGUUUGAUGCAUAUUUCGAUGAACCUCACCUUGAACAUCUGAUUAUGACAUUUUGAGUUGGUGGAAAUUGAAUGGUGUCAAGUAUCCAAUUUUACAAAAAAUUGCAAGAGACAUCUUAGCCAUCCCGCAUCAGAGUCUGCUUUUAGUACGAUUGUAAGCCCACAUCGUAACAAACUUCAUCCAAAGAUAUAGACGAUAAAGGCUUUGAUGUGCGCUCAAAAUUGGAUCGCAACGGAAGUUUUGACAGGUACUAGCACGAAAAAGAAAUUGUUACACAUUUAGCAACCGUUUUAGAAGAUGCAGACAAUUCUAUUGAAGAUGGCGUGGUGAUUAAGAUAUACUCAAGGAAUUAUUUGUUUAUUACAUUUUAAACGUAAGAAUGAAUACUAAGGAUGGGAUGAUACUAAGAAAAGUGAAAGAUUUGAUUGUAAAAUCGUUGAAGAGAGGACAAGUUUUGUUGAAUUUUAAGUUAUAUACUUAUUUGAAUGCAUAAAACGUUUGCCUUGAA